CAAUCAAAAAGGAGGCAGCCAACCCCCUCUCCCUCUAUAAAUGGCCCUUGGCCGGCCACCUCCACUCCUCUUGCUCUCAUUUUUCUUCUCUCCACUCACUCCUCCACCUUAUCUACUCCCUCACACUCUUCUCCUACUCUCCCCCACGAAAAUGCAGCUCCACCUAGCUCCCAUGGCCGGCCAUGGCCAUGGAAAGAACUCCAAGAUGAAGCUCCCUCCUCCCUCAAGCUCCUCCUCACCAUGAGAGCCUCCCUCUCCUUCUUCUCCCCAACCCUAGAUGGUUUUCUCUCCUCUUCCUCUUCCUCCAUUGCUAAGAUUGGAUCUUGAUGCAGGUGCAUGUUGGUCCAAGCAUGGAGAAGCUUGAGCUAUCCUCAGAUCUGAAGUUCUUGAGCAAAAUCCAAAUCGAGUGAUUCAAAGUUCCGCAGAUAGAUACGGAAAAGAUAUACAACUUGGCGUUGGUCUCAUCCUCAAAUUCGUUACGGAUUGUCCGUGGUGAAAGCCCUCUUCAAUACCUUCAUUUUGGCGGUGGUUUCACUUCGAUUGACCUCCUGAAAAUGAAAUGAUUCACAGGUCAAGAUCUGGUCAGAUCUGACUUUGUCGAAUUAAACCAGGAGCUUGGGAACGAAUCUUUGAGUGAAACAAAUUGGGGGAUGUUUGGUUUAUACCAUGGUGAUAACCGAGAGAGGCAAUUGCUAAGUUGUGAUGCACUCAUACCUCUACUAGAUGCGAACAAUUCCGGAGAAGAAGAAGAAGUGGAAUUGGACAAGGAUUUUAUUUAUAUUGUUGGGAUUCUUAUAUUGAUAGGGUUGAAGAAUUACAGGGACAAAUAAGCCAAGGCAAGCCAUCUUUUGAUCUCUGAUCCGGUGUCUAGUUGGAUGUCAUUUGUUGAUGUUCAAAGCACCUUCAUUCUAUGUGUGUUAUUAUCUCUAUUUAUGUCAUCUAUGUGUGUUUGCAAGUGGGGUACUCCCUAGUGGUGAUGCUCCACUAUUUGUCCUUGUGUUAUGGGAUGCAUGGUAGCAUGGCCGUGCUAUCCCACUUGGUUAUCUUGUAUGCUCAACUUGAGCAUUUUCCAUCUCAAGAUAGUAACUUACACCACACCCACCCCAUUUGUAGUAUAGAGGUAUCAUUGUCAUGAUCUUGGUGUAUUCUCAACUUGAGAGGAGUAUGCCGUGUACCAUCUUGGAGAAUAUGUUGGAUAGUGACACUCCACUAUCUAAGUUGUGUAAUUAGCACCACAAAUCUGAGAGUAUAUUCCUCCUUGUGUUGUCAUAAUACAUGCUUACCUUAAGCAAGUAUGAUCCACUCCACUACCCCUUUAUACCUCAUCUAUGGCGGGAUGACUCUCAUCUCGGCCGUAGUGCAAUACUAGUUCAACUCAUGAAACUAUAGGUUGGGAACCCCUCAAGGUUUACCUUGUUGUAAAUGUUUAUGAAAACCUUGGGUGAGGCAACCUUACCCAAGCGUAUGGUUUAUGAAAGAAAAGGAUCUUGACAAAGAUGGUUGGAAAGAGGAAAGUGUGGGUGUGACUUGGGUUUUUGAGAAAAACGACACAUGGUUCUUUGUAUUCGCCCGGAACAAUUACACAGCGCAACCACAUUAUCCAAAGUGGGUACGGGCUUAGUCUGACGUCUGUUGAAAUUGGCAUGAGCCACCUUCACAACUCUCUAGGAGGGUUGCGAUGACCUCUGACACCGGGUUGCGCUCUGAAGGAGGCAAUACACUGCAUUAACUUGCAGCCGGACGAUUACUGAGGGUCUUCUGUCAUGGCGCCGGAGAUACGCUCAAAAGGAGGUAUGCUGCCGGGGUGCCGGGAAGGGGUAAGCCCGCAGGGAAGGACUCUUGUCAAGGGAGACAGGCGAAGGACUAUGACUGAUUAUCCGAGUCUCGCAUACUUUUGUAUGUCGAACCGGGGAUGAUCCCGGCGGAUUUAUCGGUUCUUGUGGGGAAAGUGCGCACACUCUGCAGAGUUAAAACUAUUCGAAUAGCCGCGUCCGCGGUCAUGGACGGUUGGGAUGGCCGUUACCGAGCUGUGUCGAGUUUUGGUUUUGAAAAAUGAUUUCCAAAGGAAAUGCGUGUGUUGGAAGUACCGGAAGGGUACGGGAAAGAUGUUGUGCCGACCAUGUGGAGAUGGUUGAGGAAAAUGAAUCAAGAUGGGGUGACCCUUCCUAGUGUUUUCAUGUAGAGGAACUCUUCUUCAAUAGAGAAAUAGAGAUGUCUUAGAUAAAUUCUUGGAGUGUCCCCUUCGAUUGAGAAGUUGGGAUGCUAUCUCCACCAAAAACAUCUCUUCUCUUCCACAUGCUAUAUCCACAAGAGAAACUACUCUUCCUCUCUUGUCUUCUUUAGUUAGAAUUGUUAUCACCUUCUUGAUGGUUUGCGAGUACAAUUCAAAUGUACUCACGGCUUUGUCCCUGGCUAUUUACUUGGCCAGACUUGAAGGAGUUCGACAGAUGAAGAAGGAGUUGGCGACGUCUAUGCGAGCUAGGAACGUCUUCCCAGUCAGUUGCAUGUAGGGUUAUGGCAGAUGACUUGGGUACUGCGCUGCUGAAGUGAUGAUGCUACUCUGAUGUUUAGUUAGGCCCUUCGAGGCUAUUAUGUAAUUAUCGGUCAUGUGACCAUGUUGUAAUUUUCUUAUUCCGCUUUGUAAUUGGAUGGUGUAAUUUGAUAUCAGUUCGGUUAUGUGUUCACGGCGCACUGAUCAUGGGAUCGUGAACUGUAUACAUAACAGGGAAUUUCGGACCGUUA